UACGCAGAGAAUAACAAGUAAGAAGAAAUAUGGGAUAUUUACAAUGUUAAGAACAAAAGCAUAAAAUUUUAGUCUAAAAUGGCAUUUCAUGCUCAGACUACAGAACCGCAGAUAAUGUUGAUUCAUCUGAAAUUUAGUGGAAGCAAGAAAUAAAGCCCAAAAUCACAUCUUGUAUGGGUGAUUCUCCAUCAGCUACCUGGGACAUUCACCAGCUUGUGAAGUUGUGAGGUCAGGAGCCAUAACUCAUGGCGAUAGCUGAUUCUGACAGUAUUUAAACUCAAUAUAUUAAGAUAUGUAAAUAACACACAAGAAUUUCCUUC